ensembl:lncRNA
CGUUUUUUUGCAGAUUGUUCUUGGAGAGCUUCAGUGCUCAGUACUUAGUAUAAUAAAUAAGAUGGGCCCUUAGGGCAUAAUAAUUAACCUAACAAAUGUUUAAGAAAGAUUUUUAACAAGUAAGAGCAGGUCUUGUCACUUCAAUGGUGUAAGAGAUUAUUCUUUUGCACUAUUGUCUCAAAGUUUGCUGAGGAACACUGAUGGACACAUCCUGGGCAAGGGCUGAGAAAUCUUUUGUCUGAAGGACACAGACGGUAAAGUCCGGACAAGUCCUUGUCAAAGUUGGCGAAAUCUUUUGUCUGAAGAUUUUACAAGCCAGGGGCAACGAGAGAGAGAUAAAUCGCAGCUUAAUGGCCGGGAAGCAGUCUUUUGUGUGGGUUUAUCUCGAGGGAUAUAGCCAUCUCGGGGGGGUACUGCACAUGGCUCUUACCCAAGCUUCUGCCACACUGGCAGAAGAAGAAGGAUAAAAAGGGGGCCAACAACCAAGAGAUUAGGUGUCAGACAUCAGAAGCCUUACGAGCUGAUGCCUGAAAGCUGAAGGACUCUCUUCUGGACCUGCUACCUGAGAUCUGCUGCUUCCUCCUGGACUUACCCAGCUGCUUGUUCCUGGCACCUGCUUGCAGCUUAAAGCCUGUCACGCUGCUGCUGCUCUCCCCCUGCGCUUUUGCCUCGGACAAUCGGAACAACAUACAACGGGACGCUGCUGGAUCUUGGUGCCUUCGAACUUCUUCCCCACAUGUCCCAGAAGAGGGAAGCGUGGUGCGAGGGGAAGCCCUGUCACUGUUGAUAUAAUCAAGUAAACAGCAACAAUGUGAUAAUACAAGAGAAAUGCAGAGGACUGGUAUUUUGUUUAGUGUCAGUGUGAGGACAAUGUUGGUAAUCUCUUUCAAAUUCUUUUCAAUAAAAACAAUCAACUAUUUGCAGGAAUAUUUGCCCUCUUGAUUUAGUGCAUGGUUCCCAGCUUAGAAUGCAGUUACAAAAUAUCUCUUUAAAAAAUAAUUCUUUAACAUCUGUAUUUUUAUAUGUAGUUGUUCUGAGUUUUAAAAUAUGUUCUGAUAAAGGAUCAUCCAGAUAUCUCUAAUAUCUGGUGACAAAAUUUUGUGCCAUAGCAUCAGUCAAAAUGAGACUCAGUCAAAACGUGACUCAGACAAAAUGUUUUGGUGUUGUAUCUACCAUAACACUGAUGAUAGAUGAGAAUUUUCUGUAUUUUGUCAUAUGGGCACAUAAAUCAUAAAAUAUGUCUUUAUACAUAUCAUGUUAUUUAGUGCACAUUUUCACCAACUACACCACAUGAUGCAAAGACGUUGAUACCAUACAUUUUCUGCAUUCUGUAGGCAUGGAGGAGUAUAAGAAGUUUGAUAGACAGCUAAGGAACAGGAGUCUCCUACAUCAGGAAGGAUACACACCUUGUAUACCAUCAUUUUUAGCACAUAUAUCUUCCUUAUAAGACAUGCACUCUAAAAAUUUGAAAUUUUGGCUUUGAUUCAGCAGUCAUUUGCUACUGACAGGGAUCUUGAACAAUACACCAGUCAACAAGUAGCAAUUCAAGUGCCCAGAAAUCUUAGACUGUGGGUAAUUUUACCAAUAAGUAAGCGAUGAUUUUAAAAAGCUAGAAGGAGACUUGGUAAUUCCCAAUACAUGUGAUGAUCUGAGCCUUAUGACUAGUCUUAUGUUAGCUUACAGUGAAGGAGAGAUUUCCCAGAGGUUUAUUGUUGUGGUUUAACCCAGCAGGUGGCUGAGCUUCAUGCAGUUGCUUGCUCACUCACUCCCCCUUUCCAAGUGGAAUGGGGGAGAGAAUCAGGAAAAAAAAAAAAAAAAAAAAAAGUAGAACUUAGUACAAAAAAAAGUAGAAUAAUGUACAGUACAGCUAAUUUUCAGAUGUCUGCUAACAUUUAAUUUAAAGCUUCACCAUUACUUUGUUUUUAUACAUCUUGUGUAAUCAUUUGACAAUUUUUUGAAAUGGUAGAUUAAUAUUAGUACGAAUGAGCUAGCAAGCUGUCCAAGGGUAAGUAGAAAGCAGAGGAAUGAGAAAGCCUGCUUAUGAAUAGUAAGCAAAAUAAAAACAAGUCAUGGUAAAGGAUUUAUUUAUUUUUUUUCUUUAAUAUUGCAUUGUAUAUAUUAACUGUGAAGCAAAUGACUGGAAAACAACAGUGAGCUAUUCAUGGUAUCAUGCUAAACUACGGUAAAAAAUAAGCAUGUUUCCUAUUUAAAUGUUGAAGGUUUGAACAUUAUCUUUUAUUCUUCUCUGCGGUGGCAUGCAGAUCAAAAGAUGACAGUCACGUAGUAAAAUGCAUAUUUAUUAAUUUACAUUGUAGUAAUUUAAGCAAUUGUCGAAUAAUUUAGAUGUCUUGCAUAUAUUUACCUUCAUAACUGGGUUCUGAAAAUAAGAAGGCUAUAUUUGAACAGACUAUCAUGAAUGUGAAAAUAUAUUCCCAAAAAUAAGCAAAUUCAAGAAGAUUAUAUUGGUUUUGGUUUGCUUUGUUGUUUUAUUAUUUUAUCUUACUUUUUAAUUCAUCCUACCCGCAUAAGUGCCUAAGGAGAAUAUGCAGAGUCAUGUGCACUCCCUAACAGAUGCCUCCUAUUUUAAACACCACUGCCUAAUUAGAUGAGAACUGCACAAGGCAAAAUAGCAGAACCUGCAAGCAGAAUGAGGAACAUGUGGGAUUUACAUUUUUCAUUAGUCCAAAUCUGCACAUCCACUAACUCAAACAUUUUUGACCACAAGAUUAAAAAUCAGAAAAAUAUGAAAGAGUUAAGAGUUAGCAAAGGUAUCAGAGAUGAAUAUGAGGGCCUCAUCAGAGGCUGCCCAUUCCUAUUUCUGUUCUUUCUGCAGGUUGCUCUAAAUGCAUCUUGCUUGGUUCCCGACAGUGUUGUUCUCACUGAUGGAGAGUGAAGCCAGAAAGAAUAACCCUAAGGACAGUCACCCUAUUCCAGAAGAGAAAAAGAGUGUAAUGGACAAGGAGACUGUUCCCCCUCUGAUGAAAGAAAUCUACGUUAAAAAAAAAGAAAGACUUUCAGAAGUAGGACUUGGAGGAUUAUACACAAUUUCAGGAUAACAAAGACUGCUGUUGUUUAAACAAGAAGCAAAAGAAACAACGGGAUGCCUACUGAACUCAAAACACUGAUGAAAUUUCCAUGAGAAUGGCCAACUUUGAGGAUUAAAUGGCAGCUAAUGUAACCUUAUUUUAAAAAGUUCUGUUUUGUUUUGUUUUAUUUUGUUUCCACUUUGAGUCUAUGAGACCUUGAAAUGUCAAGUUUACUCUUAUUAGUGUGUUGAUGUCAGUUAUGUUAGUGUGACUGUAUAUGUAUUUCAGAGUAUGAUAGUUUUCUUCAAAAGAUUGUAAAGGAGAAAAAUAUAACAGAAACCACAAUUUAAUUCACUUUAUUAUAUGUAAAUAUAAGUAUUUUGUAGUAAUUAAUCUGAUACGGUAACUCAUCAUUAACUAUUGGGUAUGUGGUAGAUUUCCACAGAGAUUCAAGCAUUUUUUCUUGACGUUGCUACCAAACUCAAAAAUUAUACAAAAUCCUACUGAUUUUGUUCUAUCUAGAUUCCAACUAACUUAUUCCUAAUAUAAAUAAACAAAUAAAACAAACAGACAAAAAAAGCAACCCAAAGCCCCCAGAAUCCUAUAUGGCUUUUUAAAAUGUUUAUUUUAAAAAAAGAUUGAUUAAUCUUACCUGACAUUUUUUUAGCACAGAAGCUUCUAAAUAUAAUCAAGAGCACAAUGAGAACAAAUGUACUGUUAUAAAUUUGUACAUUAGUUUUUAAUGGAUUGUUCUCAUAAAUAUUUGGUGCAAUAAAAGAUCACAUAUUACUGAACAUUCUGUGCUUUUUUUUUUUUCAGAUUUGUUUGGUUAAAAUGAGGUCAAAGAGUAAAUUUGUUAACCUUCUAACAGCAUGCUUUUGACUAUUAAAUAUUAUUUGGAUCAUUGUCUUCUAUUUUAUUUUAUUAAGUACUUGCAGAAAUGCAUCCAGUUUUUCUUAUGAAACAGUACCCAACUUUGAUACCUGACAUGGUUAAGAUCAAUAUUUUCAGUAUAAAAGUAAUACAUGUGUAAAAUUGUAACAUUGAUGAAGAACAGCAGAAUAUGAACAAUGACACAUUGAGUUUUCAUUUGCAAUUCCUCAAAUUGUAAGUAUGUGAUAGUUAUUAUUUGUUCAUAAGUUCUGAAGAAUACUAAAGAUUUCACCUUCCUGAGUGAUGUAUUUUAUCCUGUAACUUUUUUUAAGUAGUUACAUAACAAAAUCACCUAAAAACUAGGUAUUUCCAAAAUGCAAGAAGCGAGUGCUGAUAGUUACAAAAGGAUUUAUUUGCAUGCUGCAAAAGAUUGAGACAAGUGAGCAGCUCAUUACUGAUUUAGUAAGAGAGAAUGACCGUACUUGAUGACCUUGCUAGCUUGUCUUUACCUAUGUAUCUUUUCUUACAUGUGAAACAGAUAAAUGUGAGAAAUGCCAUUUCAUGGACACAUAAGCAUAAUUGUUCUUACUUUUAGUCUUAAUGUGCCCAACAAUCUCCUUUCUACCUUCUCCUCAUGGGACUUUGGUAGGGAAAAAUGUCACUGAACAAGAAGAAAUAAACAAUAAUGCAAAGUUCUAGUUAAAAAAAAAGGAUGGGUUAUCAGAAAUGGUCAAUAAAGAUAUUCUUCCUGUACUAAGGAAUGCAGUUAUAUCAGUUAGAAGUGUUAUUACAGAAAUCCUUAUCAAUAUGACUUAAUAAAGACUCCUGUUAGGAAAGGGAAUGACUUGAAGGGAUUCAGCAGAGUUACCUGGAUAAGACAGUAUUAAUCUGUAAAGAAAUUUUCAAGAAUAGUGCAGAGGUUUUAUGAGUAUCUUAUAAAGAUGAAUCACUCUUUGUCUUUAAUUUAGGAUAGCUCCCUAUAUGUCACUAUCUGUUAGAACAUCAUGUCCAUUUUACAUUUGUAUUAUUUUCCUUUCUGCUUUAUGCUUGUCAGCACCUUGACAACACUAUCAGUCCCUACUGUUCCUGCCCAGCUCAGCCUUCCUCCAGCCUAAUAGUUGUCCAGACACUCCAUUUCUUCUGUCUAGGGCUCUCCUGCCCCAGCAAUGCCAUAGAAGGAACAGUCUGCAAGUAGCUUGUCUCUUACCCCAUCUCCUUUCGUUUCUUACUAGACACACCAGCUCCAGUCUUGUCCCAUUUGGAGCACACUUAUUCUUGCUUCUCCCUGGUAAAUCUCCUAGCCCCAUCUCUUUACUACAGUAAUAAGGGUGUGAUUAGGUGUAUUCUGCCUUUGUAUUAUUUUUUUGACAAAUAAGAUAUUAUCCAGGAAAAAUAACUCUUACUCAACAUGUCUAUGCUGACAUAUUUGAUCAUUUUUAUGGUUUUAUUACUUUAAUUUACUUGUGUCCUGUCAACACUCCCAGAGGCACCCAAAAUGUGUAGAAAAAUACUUAAUACAAGCUUUAAUUUGAUAUUGUUUCUGUUACAAAAUAAAUCUUUUAUUUGUUCACAUUUUUUUUCUUUUUUAUUGUUUUAAUGGAAAGUGAAGCUUUUUGUGGAGAAUGUGUUUUAGGUUAAAUGCUGCUUGUGCAUUAUAUUCUUCUUUUAACUUUUUAACUUAAAAACGAUUCACUACGUAUUUAAAUUUUUUUCUUCAGACUAUGCACAUUUUAUAUUAAAAUAAUAGUUUACUGAUUCCAGUGCAGAGCAUUAGGGGACUACAGAUAUCUUUAUUAGAUUGUGUUAGGACAACAGAGUAUCCAUGGCAUGUCAACAAUUAAUAAGAAAUAAAUGUGUUUCAUAUCUCUAAGUGUAACAAUUUACUCUAUCAACUUUGUAGUUGAGUGAUUAUGUAUUUCUCUGGAAAUUUCAAUGCUGUUUUCUGAAAAACUACUGUCAAAAACACAACCUCUGUGAUACUGUCAGCAUGAAGAAACCUCUUUAUAUUUUACUUGAGAAGGUUCUCCUUAUGAAUUCUUUAAAGAGAAACAUAAUCUUUUUAGCUGUGAAUAAUUAAAAGUUAUGAUAAAUCUAUUUAGGAAGCAUUGAAGGUAAUGGAUUUUCAGACAGGAGAGUAUUUCUGCAUAGGUUUUACUUCCAUGGCUUUUUUUUUUUUUUUUUUUUUUUUGUAGUUAAGGCCACAAAACACUUGUGUGAAAUUAUGUACAUAUGUUAUAUGUUAAUAAACAGAAAACAUAUAAAACUAGAUGUAAAAUAUUUCAAUUGUUAUGAAAGCAUAUAAUUUCUCUUCUACAUCACUACUUAACUUAAAAAGGAGAAAAAAGAAGUAAAUGUUUUCUGAUCCAUUGCUUUUGAGUUUUCUUUAAAAGAAGAAUACCUUUUUCUUGUCAAUAUUCUUCAUAAAAAGUAAAGAAAAUAUGUUCCUUUCAGCAUAAUGAACCCAUCCUUUUUAUUCUUUUCAAGAGAUUUUUAACAAUGUCAUUAGUGGGGGGAAGCUGAUUCAAUUGCCUUCUUAUAAAUUCAGAAUAACUAGUCACAGAAUGAAAAUUUAAAAGUAAUUUUUUCUGAAGCUAGAAGAAAUUCUUUAUAUCUAUAAGCAGAGCUAAAACAUACAUAUAUUUCUUUCCCUCUGUUUUCACCAUUAAUCCACCCUGUCCCACUAGUCUUUCCAUAAUGAACAUGAAGCACUACACACAUAUGAUGAUGAGGUUACACAGAAGCUGAGGUGGCAGGAAAUUGAAGGACACAAAACAAUCAAUAAGGAGAAAUGUGCGUCUGACGUUGUUCCUUCACUGAAAGAAAAAGAUCAUCUUCAGAAAAACCAGUAGAAGGUAAAAACCUCCUCAGUAUGAGUAGGAACAAUUGAAAAAGUACAGUAAGGGAGUAGAACUGAGGAACUGUGAUUCAAAAGCCUUUUUGGAAUCUUCACAUUGAUAGCUAUGAAACAUCCUUUAAUCAAUUUAUAAUAUUACUUUCUAAAUAGCACAGAGGAAUAAUUUCUGUAUUUUCUCCUUCCUUUAGGAACAUAAUAAUUCCUAACUUUUGCAGAGCUGAAUCUGGUACUACUUUUUCAAUCACAACACUUUAUUUGUUUAAUAAUUUUUUUUUGUUAUAUUUAAAGAAGGCCAAAACUUUAGUUUCUUUAUUUGAAAAUGUCUGUAGACAAAGUUAAAAAGGCAUUUAUUACCUAUACUUUUGUUCUUCAAUAUUUUUAUGUUAAUGUCACCUUAAUGAAGGAGUAAAUCCAUUGUAUAUAGCCUGAAAAUUUAUGAAGAGCCAGGUUUUCCUAUUGAUAAAUGCUCUUUGUUAAUGAUCCAUUGGCUUGUCCCAGGGGAAAUAAAUUAUAUUUAUUUAUUUCUGAACAAACAGAAUGAACAAAACCAGCAAACUGAAGUUAAUAGAACAAUCAUCAUCAUAUCAUUUUCAAAAGAAAUUAUUUGUAGAUAAUUCACUGGGUAAAAAUUAUUCUCAAUCUUAGAAUGAUAUUUGUUAGGGUAAUGGACCAAAACUACAAGAGUUACUAUGAAAGUAGUGUCUCUUAUUUUUUUAUGUUGUCCCACAACAUCAGAGGUGAAUGUUGACUGUAUGGCAAUAAAAGUUGAACCUUUGCACCAAUAUUCUGUUGCCUUGUGACAGACAGCAGCAGGGGCAAUCUGACAAAAUGGUGUCUGCCUUGAAAGUGUGUAUGAAGCAGAGGUAUGUGAUUGAAUUCCUCCAUGAAGAAAAAAUGGCACCCACUGACAUUUGUCAAUGCUUGCUGAAUGUUUAUGGAGACCAAACAAUGUAGGUGAGCACGGUGAAGCAGUGGGUGGUGUGUUUCAGCAGUGGUGACAGUGACAGUGGAUCACCUCUGCUUGUGAAGACUUUUAUGAGAGUGGCAUGCAGACUCUUGUUCACUGCUGGUGAAAAUGCAUAACUAACAGUGGUGACUUUGUUGUAAAAUAGUGCUUUGUAGAUGAGAACUUGCUCAAUCAAAUAGUGUAAUUGUGCUCUUUCUGUCUGUUGAAUUUUCCAUUGAAAUAAAAAGGACACGUUAUUUUUGGAGCUACAUACGUGGGUAAAGAAAUGUAUUUAAAAUCAUAUAGUGUUGGCUAAAACCUGUGAGCAAAGUUUUAGGGUUUUUGUUUGUUUGGUUGGUUGGUUUUCGUUUUUUUUUUUCAGCUAAAAAUAACUCAGAUCCUUGGCUUUUGUUGGCCAAGGCCACUUGUUUUACUGUUCUAUGGGGUUUUGUACAGCUGCUUUGAGGAAAGUCAUAGGGAUCCCUCUUCCAGGAGACUAAUUUCCUAGAACUUCAGAAAGCUUUCACCAUAAGAUACCAAGAUUUCUUCUAUCCACCAUACUGUUUCUUCUUUUUGAGGUAAUAUGUUAAUCACUGUUUCACUUUCUGCAGAUAUUGUGUUACAGAAGGUCUCACAUUUUAACAGCUAACAUUCAAGUCUUAGUGCAAAAAUACUUUAACCAUUUUCUUACCUUAUGGAAAAACAUAGAAUCAAACUGAAUGAAUGCUGGACCAAUGACUGUAGCAGAGAAUGAUCAUCUUUUUAUUGCAUAGAUUGGUGGGGAAUUAAAUACUGACAGAAGAUGAGCCAGUGAAAUGGAAAUAGAGUUUUGACAAUACACACAGCUUCC